CGUGGAUGCUGGGAACUGAACCCAGAUCCAUGACAAGAGUAGCAAGUGCUUUUAACCAUGGAGCCACCAUUUUGACCCACAGAUUUUUGUUUAUUUGUUUUAAUUAAGAAACAGAUACCAUUUGUGUGAUUUUAAAAGUUCAAAACCUCCCAGGUGGUGGUGCAUGCCUUUGAUCCACCACUCCGGAGGCAGAGGCAGGCAAGUCUGUGUGCAUACAAGACCAGCCUGAUCUACAGAAUGAAUUACAGGACAGCCAGGGCUAUACAGAUAAACCCUGUCUUAAAAAAAAAAAAAAAGGAAAAAAGAAAGAAAAGAAAAGUUCAAAGCCUGUGUCACAGGGGAUGCUGAGCAAUGUGGCUCCUAGCUGCCUCACCCAGCCUCUUCAGCCCCCAUUCUGGGGCUGCCGGGAUCCUGAAGAGAACAGCCUUUUACCCUGUCUAGCUACAAAACCACGUGACUUAUCUGGAGCUCUGGAAAUCCCAGGGUCUGUGCUCAUCUUCUUUGAGCCCAAUCCACUAUCCUGUAGGUACCCUGUCCUCUUUCUGCCCAUCUCCCCUUCUGCUCUGACUUCCUUCCCUCUUGCCCCAGCUCAGUUGAGCCCUGUUCCUCCUGUCUGUCAGCCCAUCUACCCAACUCCAGCCUUAUGGGAUGCUGCUGCUAAUCACUCUUCUGGCUUUCCCUCCUGGACACACCAGAGCAAAUGUGGAGGAAUAUGCAUAUGAGCGCCGCUGCCCUUGGAGUCCAGAAGACGUGUCAGACGCCCUGGAGCUGGACUUACAGUGAGCCACCUUAUAGGUGUCCUGGGAACCAAAUUCUGGUCCUCUGCAAGAACAGAAUGUACUCUUAACUCCUGAGCCAUCUCUCCAGACCCCUGGAUAAAGUUUUUGAAUGAGUAAGCAACCCUGCCCACAUCUGGUUCUUUGCCACUUGUCGCUCAAAACUCGCUGUAGUAUGGCCCGUCACUGUCACUGUAAUCUGCAAAUAACCCCUGAAAGCUCACUGGUAGCUCUGCAAUUCCCUUCUUCUAGGCCACUGACCCCCUGGUUUUCCUCUUCAUUUCUCCUUUGCCAUCGCCACUGACUUCUGUGCCUCCUGCUUUCUGCACACAGGAAUCUCCUAGGAACUGGGCUCAGUUCUCAUCUAAUUCUGCCCUCUCUGGCAUGCCAACCACUUCCCUAGUUAUAACUAGCCAUCUGCUUGGGAGAAUCAGCUCCAAGUUCUAGUCUAGAAUGUCCAACUGCCUGCCAAGCAUCUAUGACAUCCCAGAACCAUCUCUAUCAUAACCAAAGCUUCCUCCUCCAUUCCCUAGCUCUAGCAAGCUCCAUCUCAGUCCCUCCACCAUGAUUUCAACCAAGCUCAGCCCUUAGGAGCUACUUUCCUCCUUCCUUCUUCCCCACCCAGCCCCCAAAACACAUCUACCAGGUCUUCAUUGGCCCUGUCUCUUGCCUACCUGUCCUGUGUUCUAUCCUUUCUGCCCUUCUGAUCUGUCCUUUCCCAAACCAUGUCACUUCCUCAUCCUGACUCUUUCUUGCCGCAUUCACAGACCCUACCUUAGCAACAGCCCUUGAACCCCAAGGCCAGCGUGACCACAUACUUUAAUAUUUAAACCAGGAUGCUUCUUUUUUGUUUUAUUUUUUGUUGUGUUUGUUUGUUUGUUUGUUUGUUUUGAGACAAGGUUUCUCUUCAUAGCCCUGGCUGUCCUGGAACUGGCUUUGUAGACCAGGCUGGCCUUACACUCAUAGAGAUCUGCCUGCCUCUGCCUCCUGAAUGCUGGGAUUGAAGGUACGCACCACCACCACAAAACUCAUUCCAGUACCUCACUGACCUUCAGGUCCUACCUUUUCAGCCUACCCAGCAGUGUUCUCAUGUAGUCCAUUGACCCAGCAAGUCACCAUGACUCGCACUGUCCCCCUCCAUCCUAUAUUCAUGCUGGUUCUUCCUUCAGAGCUCUUCGUCUCCCACUCUGCCUCCCAAACCCCAUCCUUAUCUCAAAGACCCAAGCCACAGCCUGUCCUUGAUGGCAUCUUCAUCCAUUUGUUGCACCGUGAGUUUCCUUAAUAAGUUUGCUUUUACCUUUAGCGUGCUCAGUGCUGCCAAACUGUGAGUGUACAGGGCUCUAUUUAGCUGGGAGGCUGCUUACCAUGUAGCUUGGCAUUAAAAGAUGAGCUGGGCCAGUCCAAUUCCCUCUCCUGGGAAUUUGAACUGUGAAAUACUGAGAGACUGGAGCAGUUAGCAGAGGUGAUGUAGAGGGAGACUCAAAGAGGCCGGCUGGUCAAAUGCAAGCCACAGUUAUGAGAAAUUAUGAGGAAACCCGGGGAAGCUUUCAUGAGGGUCAGAGUAGUUAUGAGCUGGAGCUCUGGAGGCCAACCUGAGGGGGAAUCCCGACUUUACCAUCUCCUGGCUUGAAUACAGACAGGUAACCUAACAUUCGGGAGCCUUUGUGUUCUUGUAUGUAAAAUGGGACAGCAAAAUUAGCUAACCUCACAGUAAGGCAAUUAACUGAGCAGAACAUGGACUCUUGAGUCUGACUCAGGGCAUGAAAAGGAUUAUUUCUUUUCCUCCCAUAGCAAUAGUAGUAAUAAUAACUAUUUAAUCAAUCAUAAUAUUUAAUUAAUAUUGCCAAUUAUUAAUUAACAAUAACAAUAAUUGAUAAUACUAAUGAGGAGAGAUACAUAUGGGGGGGGAAGGUCCCACGGAGUGCCUGGGUCUUACCAGAGCCCUCUCUGUCCCUUCAUGCCUUCCAUACCCACUUCCAAGGACAAACCAUAGACUCCAAACCAUAGCCACCAACAGCUCUCUUCUUGUUGCUUGGAUGGCCCCUAUGUCUUGCAAUGAGAGGGACCUGCCCAGACUACUGUUACCCUCUAGUGUCUAGGCUUAGACCCCUCACAGCCAAGGACAGUGGCCUGGCUGCUCCGUUCUCCUGCCUGACCUUGAACACAGCUGAUGCUUACUGGUUGGUGACUGAAGGUCAUCCAUGCCCUUCCUCGGGGACCUUUGGAAGGGCUGAUUGCAGAAGGCUCAGAAGUCCACAUGUACAGUGGUCUGCUGUGUCACAGCCCUGUCCUUCAGCCCAGAAAAGUAGAAGGGCCAGGACUAGGCUGUCCCCUGAAGGACUGACAGGUCAGGGUUUGCUCCGGAAUUCUAGUCUAGCCUCUGAGAUGCUCUCUCAACUCUCUCCUUCUUCAAUCACUCUGGUCCUAGGAUGAUGUCUAAGGGAAUCAGUCACUCUGGUCCUAGGAUGCAGUCUAAGGGAAUCAGUCACUCUGGUCCUAGGAUGUAGUCUAAGGGAAUCAGUCACUCUGCUCCUAGGAUGUAGUCUAAGGGAACCAGAAGGACAAUUGGAAAUGAACUGUACUAUGUCAGGUUGCCAAGCUGUGACCAAGGGCCAGGAUUGGUCCCCUCUCCUGUCUAGUUCCAUGCUCUCUGCUUCUCCUCCCAUCCAAACCUCUCUCCCAUCCACACUGGUCCAGUCUUUGACCAUCACCAGGCAGUUCCCUCUGGGAGGAUUAGGGUUAGACAGGGUUUUUCUUUGCAAAGCCCUCAUUCUGUGAACUCAUUCUGUAGACCAGGCUGGCCUCGAACUCACAAAGAUCCACCUGCCUCUGCCUCCCAAGUGCUGGGAUUAAAGCUGUGUGCCAUCAUCUGAUUUAAAGACAGUAAUAUUGUUGUUUGUUUUAUUAUUUUUUAAUAUUAGUGUUUUGCCUGCAUGUAUGUCUGUGUGAGGGUGUCAGGUUCCCUGGAAC